CGGACGGGUGAGUAAUGUCUGGGGAAACUGCCUGAUGGAGGGGGAUAACUACUGGAAACGGUAGCUAAUACCGCAUAACGUCGCAAGACCAAGAGGGGGACCUUCGGGCCUCUUGCCAUCGGAUGUGCCCAGAUGGGAUUAGCUAGUAGGUGGGGUAACGGCUCACCUAGGCGACGAUCCCUAGCUGGUCUGAGAGGAUGACCAGCCACACUGGAACUGAGACACGGUCCAG
rnacentral:rRNA from 1 species